ACAUAAUCUCAGACGGUAUUUCUCUCUUCCAUUGUAGUCUACGGUGCCUGCGACACAGUUGCUUUUUCUUCUGCUAAUUCAGUCCAGUAUUCUUCAGUGACCUCUGAGUGCAAGGUCUGGGCAAGAGACUUGAGAAGAAACUUGGACUAUGAAUCAACCAUCUGUAAGGAACUCACCGCUUAGGACACGAGAGAAGAGAUAAGCAUAUGAAAGUUAGGGAAGGACUCAAAACAUGAGAAGAAAGGUCAGUGUUUGUUGAGUAUGUGAAAUUAAUCAUGUAAGUAAUAACACCUCGGGAAGUUCUGGGAGCAAUCAUUUCAACCUGGGAGUUCUCUUGAGCCCAAUCUCUAUGAAUGGGGGAGACUUAGAAAAGUAGGAAGGAAAAGGGAAGGGUGUAUCUGGGGGUUGGGAUAACAUGAGCACAUUUUAGAUGAGGUGGAGGUUUCAGAAAGGUGGGAAAUAGAUGAGUAGGUUGGAGAGUGGUUUUGCGUGUGGGGGUGGGGGGUUUCUAAUGCCAUAUCAAUGGAAUUUUGGACAUUUUUCAGUAGGGAAAUUGGAGGAUUGGGGGCCAUGCACUUUGGCGAAAGUAGUGUUUUAACAAGGUUAACUAGAUGGCAGUUUUGAUAUUUAAAGAGAAAAGAUGUGACAUAGAUAGAUUAGUUAGAACGCUAUUGCAAUGGGCCAGACCCAAGGUAAGAAGCCUUUAACUAACAUUAGAGUAUGGUAGGAAUCAAAAGAAACAAAUGGUUUUGAGAGAUUUGUGAAGUAAGAAAAGAUGACAGAACUGAGUGACCCAUGAGCAGUGGGGCUGCAAAGGAAAGAGAAGAAUCAAAACGGGCAUCCUAUUUCAUUGGACCGGUAUUGAUCACUGGUCAGCCUUCUGUAGACAGAGACGUUUCUUCUGUGUCUGAGCCUUGCCAUGAAUUUUUCCGUUGACUUAUAUCAGCUCCAGUAAUAA